rnacentral:tRNA from 1 species
UCCGCCGUAGUUUAAUGGCAGAACAUCGGAUUGUGGAACCAAACCUCCGGAGGAGGUGCGACAAGAAAUCCGAAGGAUUUCCGAUAACCGAAUGUGCAAGUUCGAUUCUUGUCGGUGGAC